rnacentral:tRNA from 1 species
ACCCACAUAGUUCAGUCGGUGGAGCAUGAGACUCUUAAUCUCAGGGUUGUGGGUUCAAGCCCUGUGUUGGGCA